rnacentral:rRNA from 1 species
AUUGAACGCUGGCGGCAUGCCUUACACAUGCAAGUCGAACGGCAGCGCGGACUUCGGUCUGGCGGCGAGUGGCGAACGGGUGAGUAAUACAUCGGAACGUACCCUGUUGUGGGGGAUAACUAGUCGAAAGAUUAGCUAAUACCGCAUACGACCUGAGGGUGAAAGUGGGGGACCGCAAGGCCUCACGCAGCAGGAGCGGCCGAUGUCGGAUUAGCUAGUUGGUGGGGUAAAGGCCCACCAAGGCGACGAUCAGUAGCUGGUCUGAGAGGACGAUCAGCCACACUGGGACUGGGACACGGCCCAGACUCCUACGGGAGGCAGCAGUGGGGAAUUUUGGACAAUGGGGGCAACCCUGAUCCAGCAAUGCCGCGUGUGUGAAGAAGGCCUUCGGGUUGUAAAGCACUUUUGUCCGGAAAGAAAUCGCGCUGGUUAAUACCUGGCGUGGAUGACGGUACCGGAAGAAUAAGCACCGGCUAACUACGUGCCAGCCGCCGCCGUAA